GGAAGUGGAAUAAUUGGGACUGGUCAAACACAUAGCUUGCCACUGGGCGAUGUGUGCGACGAGAUUUAAAUCAACUGGCUACACACGUAGAUGCAGCGAGGAAAAGACUUGCGGACAGGGGUUCGACUCCCCUCGUCUCCACCA
rnacentral:tmRNA from 1 species